CAGCAUUUUGUGUGUGUCGCUGAUGGAAUGGCCUGACUGGUUCUAUCACUGUCUGAGAUACGCCAUGAGACAGGACCAUCUGGCCCUCAGAGCCGCGACGACCCAGGAACCCAAGUAUUUAACCCUCGUCUAACCACAGGACAGUUAACCUACUCACCGGUAUGACUUUGACUGUGGGAGGAAUCGGAAGCAGCCGGAAGAAACCUUCACGUACACAAAAGGACAUAGGACAGCAGAACUGAUCUCUGAAUCGUCGCGAGCAGUGACAGCGUUGUGCUGACUGCUGUACCGUGACACUCUAAAGGAGAUCUGGAGUGACGGCAAGGAGCUGGCAGCAAUGGAGGGAGAGCCAGGACAUCACCUGAAAUGGAGGGAGGCCUUUAAUCCUAAGGAGAGAUGGGACGGGCUCACUACAAGGUACAACGCUGAGGCGUGACCUUCAGAAGAGGGAGAUAAAAUUGCUGGCCCAGCGUGAAUAUUGCGGGCAGCACAGUAACCCCCACCCGCCCCCGGUCA